CCCGCUGAACUUAAGCAUAUCAAUAAGCGGAGGAAAAGAAACUAACAAGGAUUCCCCUAGUAACUGCGAGUGAAGAGGGAAAAGCUCAAAUUUAAAAUCUGGCAGUCUUUGAUUGUCCGAGUUGUAAUUUAGAGAAGUGUUACCCGUGUUGGCCCGUGUACAAGUUUCCUGGAAUGGAACGUCAUAGAGGGUGAGAAUCCCGUCUUUGACACGGACUACCAAUGCAUUGUGGUAUGCUCUCGAAGAGUCGAGUUGUUUGGGAAUGCAGCUCAAAAUGGGUGGUAAAUGCCAUCUAAAGCUAAAUAUUGGCGAGAGACCGAUAGCGAACAAGUACCGUGAGGGAAAGAUGAAAAGAACUUUGGAAAGAGAGUUAAACAGUACGUGAAAUUGCUGAAAGGGAAACGCUUGAAGUCAGUCACGUUGACUCGGAAUCAGCUCUGCUUUUGCUGGGUGUACUUUCUUGUCAAUGGGUCAGCAUCAAUUUUGACCAUUGGAUAAAGUUGCUGGGAAUGUAGCAUCCUUUUGGAUGUGUUAUAGCCUGGUGAUGCAUACAGUGGUUGGGAUUGAGGAAUUCAGCACGCCACCAGGCCGGGUUUUUGACCAUGUUCGUGCUUAGGAUGCUGGCAUAAUGGCUUUAAUUGACCCGUCUUGAAACACGG
rnacentral:rRNA from 1 species